ACCCUGGACGGGGGAUCACUCGGCUCGUCCGUCGAUGAAGAGCGCGGCCAGCCGCGAGAACUGAUGCGAAUUGCAGGACUCAGUGAACAUCGACACCUCGAACGCACAUUGCGGCCUCGAGAUCCCUUGUCUCGGGGCCCCGUCCGGUCGAGAGGCGGAAAAUUGCAUGUUCUCUCACACUUUGCUGGGAAACAUCUCACCGUCCCCGCGCGCGACGCCCUCAACUAUCGCGUGGUGGAAACCGGGACGUCGCAGGCGUAAUAACGCCUUCGUCUCCCGCACUGCAGACCGCGGAGUCGCUCCCUUCGUGACCGCGUGCAGAGCUGAGCGUAGCCGGUGUCUGUCUUCUUGUCGACGCACGUUUCGUCCUGGCGCGACGCGAGAGUUGACUGGGUUCCUGAUCCGGGUAGUCCCACCUCCUCCUUCGUCGGUCCUGUGUGUUAUGUGUGUGCUCGAGCCACGACGUUGUUAGUUAAUAACAAGUCCGAACUCUUUCCGUGGCCGCCUGCCAGAGCACCGGCUCGUCUCGCUCUUUGGGGAAUUUCUUAUUGACCAUGAGCGUCCGAGCGCUGUAGCACGCCGCCCGUAAAUAUCCGUCGUCGGAGCGUGGUUCUUUCAUCCUGGUGACUGGAGGCCCUCCUCUCGCCGUCCGUCAACCGCUGUCACUUUGGACGAUAUCGACAGGCGACUAAAGCAGACUCCAUGCUCGUCAAAACUCUAUUACUCACCGCCCUCGGCUCGGUCGAGACGACCCGCUGAACUUAAGCAUAUCGCUAAGCGGAGGAAAAGAAACCAACCGGGAUUCCCUUAGUAACGGCGAGUGAACCGGGAGAAGCCCAACGCCGAAUCCCGUCGCAAGUAAACGGCUUCGGGACGUGUGGCGCAUGGGUCGGAGGCAGCCGUUCGUUCGUCUCGCGUAGUUCGGAGUUCCCUCGAUCGGGGCCGCCCGCGGCGGGUGCCAGGCCCAUUCGGUGCGGACAGCGAGCGACGGCCUUCGAUCCGAGAGUCGGGUUGCUUGGGAACGCAGCCCAAAUCGGGUGGUAAGCUCCAUCCAAGGCUAAAUACCGGGACGAGUCCGAUAGUCGACAAGUACCGUGAGGGAAAGUUGAAAAGAACUUUGGAGAGAGAGUUCAAGAGAACGUGAAACCGCCCAGGGGUAAACGGGUGGGACCGUUCACCGCGAUCGCGGGGGGACUCAGUCCGGUGCUACGCAAGUUGCCCAAACUCGAUUUGUAUCUGAGGCCGAGUGGGUGCCGAUUCUUCGGAUGCGCUUUUGCGCUCGUGUCGCUGACGGAGGGGCAUUUAUGUCUCUCUCGCUCGGCAUCUAUGUCGCGGGCGCUUCGGCACGGUACCAACACUUACUUCACUCGGUCGGCUCCGGACGCACUUCCCCUCCGGUCCGUCGUCGCGACCCGUUCCCGGCGUGCAGGUCGACGCGCGGCGUCGUAGAUGGAAGUCGAACCUUCGGGAACCGCGUCCCUCACGGGUCGUGGUCGUCUUCUGUCGGGCCCGCGACCGUACUGCCCCUUUCUGCCGGGGACGGAGGAACCAUGCGUGAUCCUAUACACGUGGCGAGCCGGUUCUUUCCCGUUUCUUUCUCGUGCGAAACCUUACAAUCGCCCCACCGUCUCGGGCGCGCGCGGGGGAUAGUUCGGGAGCUCGGAACCGGCGCGGCCGCGUCGACGCACUUCGCUGGCUCCCUUGUGUCUGGCUCGCGCCAGUCGCUCGGGAACGUCGGCGUUGUUGCUCGGCGCCGCUUUACUUUGCCGCCCGCCACUUCGGGUCAGCGACGUGCAUCGGCAACCCACCCGACCCGUCUUGUAACACGGACCGAGGAGUCCUGGCCGUUCGCGAGUCGUAGGGGCCCAUUUAAGAACCCCGGAGGCGUAGCGAAAGCGAGAGAGCGCGUUGGAGGGCACCGGUUUGGAGAGGUGUCUCGGCGAAGUUGGCCUCCGGGUCUUCCGAGCCGUGCCCGAUCCUGCCGGCGCGACGAGUCUCGUUACUUUCCUUCGUCCGCCCCGCGUACGCUGUCAUCGCCGUAGUCGUCCGAUUUUCCCUCUCGGGGGAGAUGAAGUUUGUGGUUGCGGCGGGCGUGCGUGCGGGUUGUGCACGGGGGCGUCACCUUCCUCCUUCCGCCCACCGGUGAGAUCCCGCGGCUUGAACUAGCAGCACUUUCGUUCGUCGAGUUUAGGCACUGCACGCGGGCGCAUCACCCCCGGGUCGAAUUUCCGAGUACGACUCGGUCGACUCUGGCGUAGCGAACGACCAGGGACCCGAAAGAUGGCGAUCCACGCCCGGUCGGGAUGAAGCCAGAGGAAACUCUGGUGGAAGUCCGAAGCGCCUCUGACGUGCAAAUCGAUCGUCGGAACCGGGUGUAGGGGCGAAAGACCAAUCGAGCCGUCUAGUAGCUGGUUCCCUCCGAAGUUUCCCUCAGGAUAGCUGGCGCUCGAUCGUCGCAAUUCCAUCCGGUAAAGCGAACGAUUGGAGGCCCCGGGGACGU
rnacentral:rRNA from 1 species